rnacentral:sRNA from 1 species
UCGACGGUACGGAUGCCGGCCGACGGGUC